rnacentral:rRNA from 1 species
UACGUAGGUGGCAAGCGUUGUCCGGAUUUAUUGGGCGUAAAGCGAGCGCAGGCGGUUUUUUAAGUCUGAUGUGAAAGCCUUCGGCUUAACCGGAGAAGUGCAUCGGAAACUAGGAGACUUGAGUGCAGAAGAGGACAGUGGAACUCCAUGUGUAGCGGUGGAAUGCGUAGAUAUAUGGAAGAACACCAGUGGCGAAGGCGGCUGUCUAGUCUGUAACUGACGCUGAGGCUCGAAAGCAUGGGUAGCGAACAGG